CGUCGGCUGUCAGCGGAC
rnacentral:snRNA from 1 species